UACGUAGGGACCGAGCGUUGUCCGGAAUCAUUGGGCGUAAAGAGCGUGUAGGCGGCCUUCUAAGUCCUGCGUGAAAUCCUGCGGCUCAACCGCAGACGGUCGUGGGAAACUGGAAGGCUAGAGUGCGGGAGAGGAGAGUGGAAUUCCCGGUGUAGCGGUGAAAUGCGCAGAUAUCGGGAAGAACACCCGUGGCGAAGGCGGCUCUCUGGAACGCAACUGACGCUGAGACGCGAAAGCGUGGGGAGCAAACAGG
rnacentral:rRNA from 1 species